UGGGGAAUAUUGCACAAUGGAGGGAACUCUGAUGCAGCGACGCCGCGUGAGUGAUGAAGGAAUUCGUUUCGUAAAACUCUGUUCUAUGGGAAGAAAAGGACUGUACCAUAGGAGAAAGCUCCGGCUAAAUACGUGUCAGCAGCCGCGGUAAUACGUAUGGAGCGAGCGUUGUCCGGAAUUAUUGGGCGCAAAGGGUGCGCAGGCGGUUUUACAAGUUGGAUGUGAAAUAUUGUGGCUCAACCACAAACGUGCAUCCAAAACUGCAAAGCUUGAGUUAAGGAGAGGUAAGUGGAAUUCCUGGUGUAGCGGUGGAAUGCGUAGAUAACAGGAGGAAUACCGGUGGCGAAGGCGACUUACUGGACUUAAACUGACGCUCAGGCACUAAAGCGUGGGGAGCAAACAGG
rnacentral:rRNA from 1 species